GAUGAACGCUGGCGGCGUGCUUAACACAUGCAAGUCGAACGAUGAAGCUCAGCUUGCUGGGUGGAUUAGUGGCGAACGGGUGAGUAACACGUGAGUAACCUGCCCUUAACUCUGGGAUAAGCCUGGGAAACUAGGUCUAAUACCGGAUAGGAGCGUCCACCGCAUGGUGGGUGUUGGAAAGAUUUAUCGGUUUUGGAUGGACUCGCGGCCUAUCAGCUUGUUGGUGAGGUAAUGGCUCACCAAGGCGACGACGGGUAGCCGGCCUGAGAGGGUGACCGGCCACACUGGGACUGAGACACGGCCCAGACUCCUACGGGAGGCAGCAGUGGGGAAUAUUGCACAAUGGGCGAAAGCCUGAUGCAGCGACGCCGCGUGAGGGAUGACGGCCUUCGGGUUGUAAACCUCUUUCAGUAGGGAAGAAGCGAAAGUGACGGUACCUGCAGAAGAAGCACCGGCUAACUACGUG
rnacentral:rRNA from 1 species